rnacentral:rRNA from 1 species
GACGAACGCUGGCGGCGUGCCUAAUCCAUGCAAGUCGAGCGAAUCUUUAGGAGCUUGCUUCUAAAGGUUAGCGGCGGACGGGUGAGUAACACGUGGGCAACCUGCCUGUAAGACUGGGAUAACUUCGGGAAACCGGAGCUAAUACCGGAUAAUCCUUUCCCUCUCAUGAGGGAAAGCUGAAAGACGGUUUCGGCUGUCACUUACAGAUGGGCCCGCGGCGCAUUAGCUAGUUGGUGAGGUAACGGCUCACCAAGGCGACGAUGCGUAGCCGACCUGAGAGGGUGAUCGGCCACACUGGGACUGAGACACGGCCCAGACUCCUACGGGAGGCAGCAGUAGGGAAUCUUCCGCAAUGGACGAAAGUCUGACGGAGCAACGCCGCGUGAGCGAUGAAGGCCUUCGGGUCGUAAAGCUCUGUUGUUAGGGAAGAACAAGUAUCGGAGUAACUGCCGGUACCUUGACGGUACCUAACCAGAAAGCCACGGCUAACUACGUGCCAGCAGCCGCGGUAAUACGUAGGUGGCAAGCGUUGUCCGGAAUUAUUGGGCGUAAAGCGCGCGCAGGCGGUCCUUUAAGUCUGAUGUGAAAGCCCACGGCUCAACCGUGGAGGGUCAUUGGAAACUGGGGGACUUGAGUGCAGAAGAGGAAAGCGGAAUUCCACGUGUAGCGGUGAAAUGCGUAGAGAUG